rnacentral:rRNA from 1 species
GCAGUCGAGCGGACAGAUGGGAGCUUGCUCCCUGAUGUUAGCGGCGGACGGGUGAGUAACACGUGGGUAACCUGCCUGUAAGACUGGGAUAACUCCGGGAAACCGGGGCUAAUACCGGAUGGUUGUUUGAACCGCAUGGUUCAAACAUAAAAGGUGGCUUCGGCUACCACUUACAGAUGGACCCGCGGCGCAUUAGCUAGUUGGUGAGGUAACGGCUCACCAAGGCAACGAUGCGUAGCCGACCUGAGAGGGUGAUCGGCCACACUGGGACUGAGACACGGCCCAGACUCCUACGGGAGGCAGCAGUAGGGAAUCUUCCGCAAUGGACGAAAGUCUGACGGAGCAACGCCGCGUGAGUGAUGAAGGUUUUCGGAUCGUAAAGCUCUGUUGUUAGGGAAGAACAAGUACCGUUCGAAUAGGGCGGUACCUUGACGGUACCUAACCAGAAAGCCACGGCUAACUACGUGCCAGCAGCCGCGGUAAUACGUAGGUGGCAAGCGUUGUCCGGAAUUAUUGGGCGUAAAGGGCUCGCAGGCGGUUUCUUAAGUCUGAUGUGAAAGCCCCCGGCUCAACCGGGGAGGGUCAUUGGAAACUGGGGAACUUUGAGUGCAGAAGAGGAGAGUGGAAUUCCACGUGUAGCGGUGAAAUGCGUAGAGAUGUGGAGGAACACCAGUGGCGAAGGGCGACUCUCUGGUCUGUCAACUGACGCUGAGGAGCGAAAAGCGUGGGGAGCGAAACAUGAUUAUAUACCCUGGUAGUCCACCUCCGUAAAACGAAUGAGGACUUAGUGUUAAGGGGGUAUA